AAGUCGUUUUCUAUUGACCCUGUCAUCUCUACCAUCAGUCUCAGAUCUGGGGAAAGUUGCUCUCAGAAAGUUCACAUCAUCACAAAUAAAAAGUCUCAUUAUUCAAAAACAGUAAUUAUUCAGUUGCAGAAUACAUCAAACAUAAUUCUUAUUUUUAUUAUUCUCUAGGUAUCCGAAUUCAAAGAAGUGGGCCCCAAACAUGAAAAUGUUGAGUUGUACAUUAUCCUAAAAAUAUUUUUUGAUAAGUUUGAUUCUGAGAUAUGUGGGAUUUUUUUUUUUUUUUUAAGCCAGGCUGUUUCUCAUACGAAAAAGUACAAUGGCAGAGAACGUAUAGGAAAAGUUUGAAUAAGCCAUCAUAAUGUGACAUUUAUGUAAGGAGAUAAGCAUGAAAAUGCUAAUGUAAGUCCUAUUCUGCUGAGUUAUAAGGUGAAUUGUGGUUGGAGUUUUUAGAUUGAUAAUUUAAACAGGGACGCUUUGGAAAAACAAGUAAAAAGCACCGUGAAUCCAAAUAUAUCCUCCAUUAGGCUACAGGUUUGUAAAAAGGAUGCAUAAAGAAGACUGUAGAAGAAAAAUUCCACUUUCCUCCCUGAAACAGCAAUGAAAAGUAGAAAAAAUAGAGAAUAUUGAAUCAUUUCCAUUGUCCAGUGUACAGAUUUUUUUCAAGAGUUGCUGAUGGGAGAUAGUAACUAACCUGGCAAUGACCAUGGAAAAAUGAAUUCUGAAAAUGAACAAACUAAAUGUCAAAUGAUGCUUUCACGGAGCAAGGGGAGUUACCUGUCAUUUCAUGGAGAGCAUGAGAAAAAGAACAGAUUUAUCCGUUUCUUAGCAAAGGCACUUGGUAAAAAGCAGACUGUAGCCUGGCUAAACCAGAAUCUCACCAACCCCCAAGCCGGGGUGUCCGUAUCGACAGCAUGAAAGCUCAGGUGGCAGCUGUGGAAUUUCAGAUGAACUAAUAAAUAUGGAGCAAACUAGCAGAGUUCAUCAGGAAAGAAUGUCAGCAAUUUACCAGUGGACGCCUAGGAGCGCGUUCUGAGCGCAUCUUGUUAUGGUUUUCAGAGAAACGAAGUUCCAGAAAUUUCAGAAUGACAGAGAUCGUCCACUGAAGUAAAGAAAUUCAAGGACAAAAUUGGGAUGGGACAGCUGAUGAAAAGGAGAUGUAGCUUGUUUCUAUUCUCUGUUGCUAAAUGCUUUCCUAUGCGUGUACAUCCACACACCCAAAACUUACUAUGAGGAAGCAGAAAAAGAAGGUGCGCUUUGUAAAAAAAAAAAAAAAUCUAAUGAAUAGAGUUCUACUCUAUGAUGUGAAUCUGUCACUAAUUUUCCUUGGCGACAUGAUGCCAUCUUAAGAAAUGAAUGAGACAUCAAGGAGACAACCUGGUUUAUCUGUGUAUGCACGCCACACGCGUACAGUCUCAGGGGAGGAAGAAAAAUGAAAAGCAUAAAGCAAAUAUAAAAGGUUUCUGUAGCCCACAUCAAUCAAGCUCCACUGGAAGGAAAAAAAAAAUCCCACGCUAUUUAUUUAUGCAAGUGUUUUCAAACAAGUUUCUCAGAUUAUUUCAUAAGUGUAAUGCAAUCAUUUAUAAACGAGCAAUGAAAUGAACAAUUAGGACGUGGGGUGUUUGGAGCAAAGUAGAGACAUUUUAUAUGGAGCUUUUACUAUCAGAAGGAACAUUUUGAAUAGAGUAUUAAGAUUGAUUAUAUCUAAUUAAAAUGCUAAAUCAUAUCGUGAACAAAGGAAGACGAGUGAAAACACGUAGGGUCUGUAGACUCAGAGCCAGGAGGGCCUUUGGGAUUCCUCGGUCCAGCUCCCUCCCUUCACAGACAAGGAGCCUCAGAUCCAGGACAUUCCUACGAUGUGAAAUCACACACGCAAGCUCGGGUCAAGGCUAUGUGUCCAGUCAUUUAUGCGUAUAUCAGAAGGGGGAGGUAUCCACACACUCAAACACACAGGGAAAGGAAGACUAUGACAACAAUGGCAAUGUGUCAUAAUCCUCCAGGAAGAAAACGCACACACUGUGCAUUCAAAAGAAAUCCAUCAAAGGUCUUUCGAACAAUUCAAAUAUGAAGUCUGCCGUUCUUUCUGCCCGGUGCCCAAAAAGGAUGAUUUACCAAAAGUGGUGAGGCCCACUGAGCUAUUUAUAUUGCACUGGAUACAAGUUUCACAUUAUGGACAAAUUUACAAAGUUCUUUUGAAAAAAAAAAAUCAAACACAGCAGGUCAUUAAAUGUCUUCCUUAAAAAGUGAAAA